AUUGAACGCUGGCGGCAUGCUUUACACAUGCAAGUCGAACGGUAACAGGCCUUCGGGUGCUGACGAGUGGCGAACGGGUGAGUAAUGCAUCGGAACGUGCCCAGAGGUGGGGGAUAACGCAGCGAAAGCUGUGCUAAUACCGCAUGUGAUCUGAGGAUGAAAGCGGGGGACCAGGCAGCAAUGUUUAGCCUCGCGCCUUUGGAGCGGCCGAUGUCAGAUUAGGUAGUUGGUGGGGUAAAGGCCUACCAAGCCGACGAUCUGUAGCUGGUCUGAGAGGACGACCAGCCACACUGGGACUGAGACACGGCCCAGACUCCUACGGGAGGCAGCAGUGGGGAAUUUUGGACAAUGGGCGCAAGCCUGAUCCAGCAAUGCCGCGUGCGGGAAGAAGGCCUUCGGGUUGUAAACCGCUUUUGUACGGAACGAAAAGGCUCUGGCUAAUACCUGGGGCUGAUGACGGUACCGUAAGAAUAAGCACCGGCUAACUACGUG
rnacentral:rRNA from 1 species